rnacentral:rRNA from 1 species
UUAGAGCUAAUACAUGCGUAUAAUCUCGACUCCUUGGGGAAGAGAUGUAUUUAUUAGAUAAAAAACCAACUCACCUCUGGUGAUUUGUGAUGAAUUAUAAUAACUGUUCGGAUCGCAUCGGCUUUGUGCCGGCGACAGAUCAUUCAAAUUUCUGCCCUAUCAGCUUUUGAAGGUAGGAUAGAGGCCUACCUUGGCUUUGACGGGUAACGGGGAAUUAGGGUUCGAUUCCGGAGAGGGAGCCUGAGAAACGGCUACCACAUCCAAGGAAGGCAGCAGGCGUGUAAAUUACCCAAUUUUGAUAUAGGGAGGUAGUGACAAUAUAUAACGAUGCCGGCUCUUUUAUGGGCUGGUAAUUGGAAUGAGAAUAAUCCAAAUACCUUAGCGAAUUCGACUGGAGGGUAAGUUUGGUGCCAGUAGUUGCGGUAAUACCAGCUCCAGAAGCAUAUACUAAAGUUGUUGUAGUUAAAAAGCUCGUAGUUGGAUUUUUGGUCUGAGAGAUCUGUUCCGCCUUAUGAGUGUGAACGGUAUUUUUCGACCAUCCUUCGCGAAGACUAUUUCGGCUCUUAAUUGAGUUCGGGAUGGGAUUCCGAUCAAUUACUUUGAAAAAAUUAGAGUGUUCAAAGCAGGUAUUAGCUUGAAUACAUUAGUAUGGAAUAAUAAGAUAGGACUUUGGUUCUAUUUUGUUGGUUUCUAGGACUAAAGUAAUGAUUGAUAGGGAUAGUUGGGGGUGCUAGUAUUCAACGGCCAGAGGUGAAAUUCGGUGAUUCGUUGAAGACUAACUUAUGUGAAAGCAUUCACCAAGGAUGUCUUCUUUAAUCAAGAAUGAAAGUUGGGGGAUUGAAGACGAUUAGAUACCGUUGUAGUCUCAACCAUAAAUUAUGCCGACUCGGGAUUGGCGGACGUUAUUUUUUGACUCCGUCAGCACCGCAUGAGAAAUUAAAGUCUUUGGGUUCUGGGGGGAGUAUGGUCGCAAGGCUGAAACUUAAAGGAAUUGAUGGAGGGGCACACUAGGAGUGGAGCCUGUGGCUUAAUUUGAUAAUAUGGGAAAAUUUGCCAGGUCCAGACAUAGUGAGGAUUGAUAGAUUGAAGAUCUUUCUUGAUUCUAUGGUUGGUGGUGCAUGGCCGUUUUUAGUUGGUGGUGUGAAUUGUUCGGUUAAUUCCGAUAUCGAACGAGACCUCAGCCUACUAAAUAGCUGGGCGAAUUUUUGAAUUCGUGAUCAGCUUCUUAGAGGGACUUUUGGUGUUUAGCCAAAGGAAGUGUGAGGCAAUAACAGGUCUGUGAUGCCCUUUGAUGUCCUGGGCUGUAUGCGCGCUACACUGGCAG